UACGUAGGGUGCAAGCGUUGUCCGGAAUUAUUGGGCGUAAAGAGCUCGUAGGCGGUUCGUCGCGUCGGCUGUGAAAUCCCGAGGCUCAACCUCGGGUCUGCAGUCGAUACGGGCGGACUGGAGUACUGCAGGGGAGACUGGAAUUCCUGGUGUAGCGGUGAAAUGCGUAGAUAUCAGGAGGAACACCGGUGGUGUAGACGGCUCUCUGGACCGUAACUGACGCUGAGGCACGAAAGCGUGGGUAGCAAACAGG
rnacentral:rRNA from 1 species